AUAGUAAUCGAUAUUAAAAUAAUUAUUAAAUAUUUGUUUAAUUAAUCCUAAAAUUGAAGUAUAAUUAUGAAAAUGUUAACAAAAGAAUUACGUUUAGAUUUCAUAAGCAUAUCGCAAAGUGACCGAUUUAACCAGCGAUCGUACAGAGGUCCCACAUGUAGUCCUGAAGUAUAACCAAUCAGCAAACAACGCUACCUCAUCGUCGACAUUAUAUCAUGCUAGCGCAUCAUCAUAGAGUUCAGUACUGUUUAAUCUGUUGAGAUAAAUGUCAUGUUGGUAUGAUCACUAGUUCCUACAUGCGAAGUUGGUACGACUUCUAACGACGCCCUUUUGUUUUAGCUUCUGCCACGUGUUAAUUAUCUGAGAGUAUCCGGUGUGUUCAUAUGGCUGUACAUGGUGGUGAAAUACAGAAUAUAAAAACUGAAUCUGUGUGAAUCAAUUAAAUAUCGAACUCCAAAACCUAUUUAAUAACAGGGGUAGUGCAGUAACCGAAAUGGAAAUUAUUCUACAUGCAAAAGAAAUUUGAAGAGUUCUCGUUGCCAGAAAUUUAAGGUGAAUGGAUUUUGUGAUAUUCAGGCAAACUGACUCCCGAGUAAGAUAAAACUUCAUAAAUUCUUUCCUAUGGUGCUUUGAUGAACUUUGUGUAAAGUGACUUGGAAUCCAGCUUUAACUGGUUUAAAACAUGCAUGGAUUAUACUCUUCGCUAUUCCUAGGACAUUUACAAAUUAUUGUGUUUGUCCUUCUCAAGUUAGAAAUUCCACUUUUUGUGAAAACGCUAUUGUAAUUAUCCGAAAACAGUUUAUUUAACAUUAUUUGGCGUCCUUUAGCCUUGUGCCUAUUCGUUUCUAUACAUGACCAACAUAUUCUUUCUUUUAAACAACAAUGUCUUCGUAUGGAUUAAUGUCUUUAUGUGUUUCGCUAUCUCCAUCUCCAAUACAUGUACUAUACUUGGCAUGAUGUUUCUUUCCUGAUCUCAUAAACAUUUCUGUGAUGACAUAAGUUUCCACUUUAUCAGCACUGAUAUGGUUUAUAGUGCAAUUAUCUUUGUCACCUUCAUACUAAUCAUUGUGCUGUUCUGUGCCCGUUUUAUUCUCCCAUGCAACGCUGCAAGAUUGGGAAACCUAGAUUUUACAAUUAUAUCAAGCACAUUCUUACUGUGUUUCCCGAGGAGUGUAGCAAGCCCGAACGAAAAAUUCAAUUCUCUCAUUUUCCUGGCGUUCUCUCUUCCGAAACGCUAACUUUUCUUCUGUCUUUUUCGGUAGCUCUCGAAAUUGGACGAUUAGAUACCCGUAAGACAACAGAAUGUAAAUUUUCCGGACAGCCAUAGUAUCUAUUGAUAGCCGAUCCCUGAAAAAUAUCCAUUAGCCCACAA